GUGAAGAACGUAGCGAACGUGCGAAACGUAAUGUGAAUUGCAGAAUUCAGUGAAUCAUCGAAUCUUUGAACGCAUCUUGCGCUCCUUGGUAUUCCGAGGAGCAUGCCUGUUUGAGUGUCGUGAAUACUCUCAACUUCAACCCUUUUUUCGGAAAGGGAGGAAGGUUGGACUUGGGUGUUUGUUGAAGUGCGAGCUUCGACUCAUCCUAAAUGCAUUAGCGAUCUGCCUCGAUCACACACAAUGUGAUAAUUAAAACUAAAGCAUUGUUUAAUGAUCAAGUCGAGACUGCUUCUAACUGUCGCAAGACAAUAACGUGCAUACAUUUGUGCAUGUCAUUUGACCUCAAAUCAGGUAGGACUACCCGCUGAACUUAAGCAUAUCAAUAAGCGGAGGA
rnacentral:misc_RNA from 1 species